CACGUAGGGGGCAAGCGUUGUCCGGAUUUAUUGGGCGUAAAGGGCGCGUAGGCUGCGGGGCAAGUCGGGUGUGAAAUCUCAGAGCUCAACUCUGAAACUGCACUCGAUACUGCUUUGCUUGAGGACUGGAGAGGAGAUUGGAAUUCACGGUGUAGCAGUGAAAUGCGUAGAUAUCGUGAGGAAGACCAGUGGCGAAGGCGGAUCUCUGGACAGCUCCUGACGCUGAGGCGCGAAGGCUAGGGGAGCAAACGGG
rnacentral:rRNA from 1 species